rnacentral:misc_RNA from 1 species
AAGUCGUAACAAGGUUUCCGUAGGUGAACCUGCGGAAGGAUCAUUAACACGUAUCCACGUAUCAACCAACUGCGCACUUGUUUUCACCUUCUCCCUGCUGUCGUCCAUGAGCUGACGAGAUUCACCGCUGCGAUCGCUUUGGAGCUCCUCGGAGCCCGCGCACACCGAAUCUCAUUCGAGGCCUUAGUAAUUUAUUGCUAGGCUUCGACAGCUGUAGGAUGGCACGUCAGGCCACACCUCGUCUGCUCGCAGCUCCCCUCUUAGCGAGGGAGCGGGGCGGAUCACAUUCACACAUUUCACCCCCUUUUUGCUAGUUGACUUUUAUAUGUUGUCUUAUGACGUACUUCGGUAUGCCGUAAUUCACACGUUUAUUAUUUGAACGUUAAAUUUACAACUCUUAGCAAUGGAUAUCUUGGUUCUC